rnacentral:ncRNA from 1 species
UGGUCUUGCGCCAUGGCAGGGGUAAAAGGGAAACAGUUGCAAAUACUGUACGAUCUCGUCACUGUGAUGGGGGAGCGUUUCUGCAUGAAUGUCACUGGUAGCAAUACCGGGAAGGCGCAGAACUGUGAUGAUACCUGAGUCAGGAAACCUGCCGGAUCG